rnacentral:rRNA from 1 species
GCGGGAAGAGCUCAAAUUUGUAAUCUGGCGGUCUCUGGCCGUCCGAGUUGUAAUCUGUAGAGGCGUCGUCCGCGUCGGCCCGUGUACAAGUCUCCUGGAAUGGAGCGUCAUAGAGGGUGAGAAUCCCGUCCAUGACACGGAUCACCGAUGCUCUGUGAGGUGCCCUCGAAGAGUCGCGUUGUUUGGGAAUGCAGCGCAAAAUGGGUGGUAAAUUCCAUCUAAGGCUAAAUAUUGGCGAGAGACCGAUAGCGAACAAGUACCGUGAGGGAAAGAUGAAAAGCACUUUGAAAAGAGAGUUAAACAGUACGUGAAAUUGUUGAAAGGGAAACGCUUGAAGUCAGUCGCGUCUCGAGGCACUCAGCCUUGCUUCGGCUUGGUGUACUUGCCUUGGGAUGGGUCAACAUCGAUUUUGGUUGGUGGACAAGGGUGAGGGGAAUGUAGCGUCGUUUCGGUGACGUGUUAUAGCCUCUUGUCGAAUACGCCAGCUGGGAUUGAGGACCGCAGCACGCCCUUGUGGCCGAGGGUUCGCCCUACGUAACGUGCUUAGGAUGUUGGCAUAAUGGCUUUAAGCGACCCGUCUUGAAACACGGACCAAGGAGUCUAACAUGCUUGCGAGUGUUCGGGUGGAAAACCCUUGCGCAUAAUGAAAGUGAAAGUUGGGAGCCUUCGUAGGGGGUGCACUGACGCCCGGCCCUGACGUUCUCUGACGGUGCUGCGGUAGAGCAAGUAUGUUGGGACCCGAAAGAUGGUGAACUAUGCCUGAAUAGGGUGAAGCCAGAGGAAACUCUGGUGGAGGCUCGUAGCGAUUCUGACGUGCAAAUCGAUCGUCAAAUUUGGG